GAUGAACGUUGGCGGUGUGCCUAAUACAUGCAAGUCGAACGGAGAUAAUAGUAAUAUUGUCUUAGUGGCGAACGGGUGAGUAACGCGUUGGUGAUCUGCCCCGAAGUGUGGAAUAACAAUUCGAAAGAAUUGCUAAUACCACAUGUGAUCUAAGAGAUCAGAAUCUCUUUGAUGAAAGGAUUUAUUCGCUUCGGGAGGAGCCUGCGUCCCAUCAGCUAGUUGGUAAGGUAAUGGCUUACCAAGGCGAUGACGGGUAGGGGACCUGAGAGGGUGGCCCCCCACAAUGGAACUGAAACACGGUCCAUACACCUACGGGUGGCUG
rnacentral:rRNA from 1 species